GUGCCAGCAGCCGCGGUAAUACGGAAGAUGCGAGCGUUAUCCGGAUUUAUUGGGUUUAAAGGGAGCGUAGGCGGCCUGUUAAGCCAGCGGUCGAAUGUCAGCGCCCAACGUUGGCAUGCCGUUGGAACUGGCGGGCUUGAAUACACACAAGGAAGGUGGAAUUCGUCGUGUAGCGGUGAAAUGCUUAGAUAUGACGAAGAACUCCGAUUGCGAAGGCAGCCUUCUGGGGUGCGAUUGACGCUGAGGCUCGAAAGUGCGGGUAUCAAACAGGAUUAGAUACCCUGGUAGUCCGCACAGUAAACGAUGAAUGCUCGUUAUGGGCGAUAUAAUGUCCGUGACCUAGGGAAACCAUUAAGCAUUCCACCUGGGGAGUACGCCGGCAACGGUGAAACUCAAAGGAAUUGACGGGGGCCCGCACAAGCGGAGGAACAUGUGGUUUAAUUCGAUGAUACGCGAGGAACCUUACCCGGGCUUGAACUGCGACUGACGGAUGCAGAGAUGCAUUUUCCCUUCGGGGCAGUUGUGGAGGUGCUGCAUGGUUGUCGUCAGCUCGUGCCGUGAGGUGUCGGCUUAAGUGCCAUAACGAGCGCAACCCUUGCCGCCGGUUGCCAUCACAUGAUGGUGGGCACUCCGGCGGGACUGCCAUCGCAAGAUGCGAGGAAGGUGGGGAUGACGUCAAAUCAGCACGGCCCUUACGUCCGGGGCUACACACGUGUUACAAUGGGGGGCACAGCGCGCCGCUACCCGGCGACGGGAUGCGAAUCGUGAAAUCCCCUCUCAGUUCGGACCGGAGUCUGCAACCCGACUCCGCGAAGCUGGAUUCGCUAGUAAUCGCGCAUCAGCCAUGGCGCGGUGAAUACGUUCCCGGGCCUUGUACACACCGCCCGU
rnacentral:rRNA from 1 species